GCGCCGCUGCUGUAGUGGUAUAAUGCAAGAUUCCCAUUCUUGCGCCCCGGGCUUCGAUUCCCGGGCGGCGCA
rnacentral:tRNA from 1 species